CAGGACGAACGCUGGCGGCGUGCCUAACACAUGCAAGUCGAACGAAGCAUAUUUAUAUGCUUAGUGGCGGACGGGUGAGUAACACGUGAGCAAUCUGCCCUAUACAGAGGAAUAGCCUCGGGAAACCGGGAUUAAAACCACAUAAUACUUAAGUAUCGCAUGGUACAUAAGUCAAAUUGAUUAAGAGGUAUAGGAUGAGCUCGCGUCUGAUUAGCUAGUUGGUGGGGUAAAGGCCUACCAAGGCGACGAUCAGUAGCCGGCCUGAGAGGGUGAACGGCCACACUGGAACUGAGACACGGUCCAGACUCCUACGGGAGGCAGCAGUGGGGAAUAUUGCACAAUGGAGGGAACUCUGAUGCAGCGACGCCGCGUGAGUGAAGAAGGUCUUCGGAUCGUAAAACUCUGUCCUUGGUGAAGAUAAUGACGGUAGCCAAGGAGGAAGCCCCGGCUAACUACGUGCCAGCCGCGGC
rnacentral:rRNA from 1 species